UACGAAGGGGGCUAGCGUUGCUCGGAAUGACUGGGCGUAAAGGGCGCGUAGGCGGCUCAUACAGUCAGAUGUGAAAUUCCUGGGCUUAACCUGGGGGCUGCAUUUGAUACGUGUGGGCUUGAGUGCGGAAGAGGGUCGUGGAAUUCCCAGUGUAGAGGUGAAAUUCGUAGAUAUUGGGAAGAACACCGGUGGCGAAGGCGGCGACCUGGUCCGAUACUGACGCUGAGGCGCGAAAGCGUGGGGAGCAAACGGG
rnacentral:rRNA from 1 species